UGGCCGGUCGAGCGACGGCGAGCUCCCAUGGCAGGGGAGACAGUGGAGCUCCUCAACGCGUGGUACUGGGGCCGGGCGGGGACCCCCAAAUGGAGCCAUGGUGGUGCUCGGCAGCAUACGCGGCUGCUGCGACGAGGAAGAGCUGGCAAUCGCUUGCAUCGAGCUGCUUUUGCCGCUGCCCACCCGAAGCCGCUACCGGCGACUUCCGGCGACACCUCCGAAAGCUGAUGUUCGCGGCGAUGUCCACGAACUCAUGCCGCCGGCCACCUCUUGGAUAUGCUGCUCCCAGCUACAUCCCCAACUAGCUGCUGCCAUGCCGGUACGGUGGUGGCAUGAGUUCAGCUAAGGCAGCACUUGAGAGCGAUACCAGAGUAUGUUCUAUGUAGGUUCUUGCUUAUGAAGCAGGUCAAAAAGACAAAAUCGGAGUGAACACAAUAUCAGCAGGAACACAUGCCAGCAUGGUGCAGUACAGAAACAAAGGCAAGAUGAGGAUCUUGGCAAGAUGAUGAGAUUUCUAGUAAUUCAAUUAUCUGCCAUGCCAUAGAUCGUGGCUGCCACUCAAGGGAAAUAGGGCAAAUAUUGAUGGGAAGGAGGGAAGAUCGAGAGAACAAUGUGUUACAUGGACCGUGGCUGUCCUUCAUGAUCGCUGAUCAUGGCUGCGCCACCGGUGGUCCGGCCGUUGCCGCCGGCGGUGAUCCCACUCAGCUUCUCUGUUUCGCGGAUCCUGUUUCUCCGCUGCUGCAAAAGGAACAACUGUAGAGGACGGUUUUGUUCUGUUUCAGGAUUGAUUUGGUUGACCAAUCGAUUGAGUGCAGAUCUAAUCCGUUAGGUGAUCGUUCCAGCCACAUACGUACAGUUACGGUAUUUCACAAAGUAUUUUGGAGUAAAAAAAUUUAAUAGAGCUGUAAAGGGAGGUAUAGGGCAAAUUAUAAAGGAAUGAGUGUAAUGUGUGGCAAA